GCGGAUGGCUGGAUGGUCGCGAGUACACUCGAGGAAAGUCCGGACUCCUCAAAGCAGCGGUGCCGGGUAACACCCGGGCGGGGUAACCCGAUGGAAAGCGCAACAGAAAGUAAACCGCCCGUUUAUUCGGGUAAGGGUGAAACGGUGGGGUAAGAGCCCACCGAGGUUUUGGUAACAGAGCCUGCAUGGCAAGCCCCACCGGGAGCAAUGCCGAAUAGGGACCUACAAAGAAAGCCUGCAAGGGUUUUCUACUUUGCUUUGGAGUUAGGUUCGGGUAGGCAGCUAUAGGGUUUGUAGUAAUACAGACUUUAGAUGAAUGAUCAUCCACAAGGUUUUAUACCUUGGGACAGAAUCCGGCUUAUAGGCCAUCCGCACUU
rnacentral:RNase_P_RNA from 1 species